rnacentral:hammerhead_ribozyme from 1 species
ACCCAGUGAAGAGUCCCUAACAGGACGAAAUGCGCGUUAUCCUGGAU